rnacentral:rRNA from 1 species
UACGUAGGGACCGAGCGUUGUCCGGAUUCAUUGGGCGUAAAGAGCUCGUAGGCGGCCACUCAAGUCGAAUGUGAAACCUCGAGGCUUAACCUCGAGCCUGCAUUCGAUACUGGGCGGCUAGAGUCUGGUAGGGGGAUCUGGAAUUCCUGGUGUAGCGGUGGAAUGCGCAGAUAUCAGGAGGAACACCGGUGGCGAAGGCGGCCUUCUGGACAGUGACUGACGCUGAGACGCGAAAGCGUGGGGAGCAGACAGG